rnacentral:rRNA from 1 species
GAACGCUGGCGGCGUGGAUAAGACAUGCAAGUCGAACGAGAGAAUUGCUAGCUUGCUAAUAAUUCUCUAGUGGCGCACGGGUGAGUAACACGUGAGUAACCUGCCCCCGAGAGCGGGAUAGCCCUGGGAAACUGGGAUUAAUACCGCAUAGUAUCGAAAGAUUAAAGCAGCAAUGCGCUUGGGGAUGGGCUCGCGGCCUAUUAGUUAGUUGGUGAGGUAACGGCUCACCAAGGCGAUGACGGGUAGCCGGUCUGAGAGGAUGUCCGGCCACACUGGAACUGAGACACGGUCCAGACACCUACGGGUGGCAGCAGUCGAGAAUCAUUCACAAUGGGGGAAACCCUGAUGGUGCGACGCCGCGUGGGGGAAUGAAGGUCUUCGGAUUGUAAACCCCUGUCAUGUGGGAGCAAAUUAAAAAGAUAGUACCACAAGAGGAAGAGACGGCUAACUCUGUGCCAGCAGCCGCGGUAAUACAGAGGUCUCAAGCGUUGUUCGGAAUCACUGGGCGUAAAGCGUGCGUAGGCUGUUUCGUAAGUCGUGUGUGAAAGGCGCGGGCUCAACCCGCGGACGGCACAUGAUACUGCGAGACUAGAGUAAUGGAGGGGGAACCGGAAUUCUCGGUGUAGCAGUGAAAUGCGUAGAUAUCGAGAGGAAC